rnacentral:lncRNA from 1 species
ACAGCUGCCACCCCUCGCUGCUCUCGUGCUACUGAGCUCUAACCUCCUCUGCUUAGGAACUAUUUAAAAAAAAAAAAAAAAAAAAAGUCCCUGUCCCUUCUGUCCUCCCUCUCUGUGUCCCUCAUGUCCCUCCCAUCCUCAUCCCUCCCAUCCUCCAUGUCCCUUGUCCUCCUGUCCCUCCCUGUCCCUCCUUGUCCCUUCUGUCCUCCCUGGGGGGGGGGGGGGGGGGGGGGGGGGGGGGGGGGGGGGGGGGGGUUAAAAAAAAAAAAAAAAAAAAAAAAAAGGAAAAAAACACCUGUUAUUAAAUGGUAAUUCUCGGAGGUCCUGGUGGUUUGCUCGGUCGCGUGGCGCUCGGGGACACGGCGGUGAAUGUGGCAGUGCUUGGGUUGAGUGACCUUGGAGGUCUUUCCUGACCCCAGUGAUUCUGUGUGAGCGUGCUUAAUUAGGCCAGUCAUUAAUUAGGGGGUGGCUGCAGAGGCACAGCUGGACCCCAGCUCCCUUUUCCUCCCCGUUCUCCCAUGCCCUGAGUGCUUCCCUCCCCGUGAGGCUGAGCAGCACACGACAUCGGUGUCCCUGUCACUUGUAGAGGUGUCCCCCCCGUGUCCCCACCGCCCAGAUCCCUGGGCUGGGGACAUCCACCAGCCCCAGGUGUCCCUGCACCAGGCUGGUUCCAGCCCUGAGCUGGGAUUCCCCCCAUCCCUGAGCCCCCCACCCGGGCAGGGCUGGGCAGGGCAGGGCAGCAGGAACCUCCCUUGGUGCCAGGAGCUGCCCGGGGAUGAGCUCCAGAGCCUCAUCCCAGCUCAUCCCCCCAUCCCUGAGCUCCCCACCCGGGCAGGGCAGGGCAGCAGGAACCUCCCUUGGUGCCAGGAGAGUUCAGCUGCUCGGGGAUGAGCUCCAGAGCCUCAUCCCAGCUCAUCCCCCCAUCCCUGAGCCCCCCACCCGGGCUGGGCAGCAGGAACCUCCCUUGGUGCCAGGAGAGUUCAGCUGCUCGGGGAUGAGCUCCAGAGCCUCAUCCCCCCAGGGCUCUGCCAGCUGCCAAGAUCAGGCCUUAAACAGGCCUUAAACCAGGUUUAAUUUGGAGUUAGGGGGGGGGGGGGGGGGGGGGGGGGGGGGGGGGGGGGGGGGGGGGGGGGGGGGGGGGGGGGGGGGGG